GACGAACGCUGGCGGCGUGCUUAACACAUGCAAGUCGAACGGAAAGGCCCUGCUUUUGUGGGGUGCUCGAGUGGCGAACGGGUGAGUAACCCGUGAGUAACCUGCCCUUGACUUUGGGAUAACUUCAGGAAACUGCGGCUAAUACCGGAUAGGAGCUCCUGCUGCAUGGUGGGGGUUGGAAAGUUUCGGCGGUUGGGGAUGGACUCGCGGCUUAUCAGCUUGUUGGUGGGGUAGUGGCUUACCAAGGCUUUGACGGGUAGCCGGCCUGAGAGGGUGACCGGCCACAUUGGGACUGAGAUACGGCCCAGACUCCUACGGGAGGCAGCAGUGGGGAAUAUUGCACAAUGGGCGGAAGCCUGAUGCAGCAACGCCGCGUGCGGGAUGACGGCCUUCGGGUUGUAAACCGCUUUCGCCUGUGACGAAGCGUGAGUGACGGUAAUGGGUAAAGAAGCACCGGCUAACUACGUG
rnacentral:rRNA from 1 species